CUCUCUCUCACCCUGUCUCUCACUCACCCUGUCUCCCCAGUCUCUCUCACCCUGUCUCUCAGUCUCUCUCUCUCACCCUGUCUCUCAGUCUCUCUCUCACCCUGUCUCUCAGUCUCUCUCUCUCACCCUGUCUCUCAGUCUCUCUCACCCUGUCUCCCCAGUCUCUCUCUCACUCACCCUGUCUCCCCACUCUCUCAGUCUCUCUCUCUCACCCUGUCUCUCAGUCUCUCUCUCACCCUGUCUCUCAGUCUCUCUCACCCUGUCUCUCAGACUCUCUCUCACCCUGUCUCUCAGUCUCUACUCACCCUGUCUCUCAGUCUCUCUCAUCCUGUCUCUCAGACUCUCUCUCACCCUGUCUCUCAG